rnacentral:rRNA from 1 species
GUAGGUGGCAAGCGUUGUCCGGAAUUAUUGGGCGUAAAGCGCGCGCAGGCGGUUCUUUAAGUCUGAUGUGAAAGCCCACGGCUCAGCCGUGGAGGGUCAUUGGAAACUGGAGAACUUGAGUACAGAAGAGGAAAGCGGAAUUCCACGUGUAGCGGUGAAAUGCGUAGAGAUGUGGAGGAACACCAGUGGCGAAGGCGGCUUUCUGGUCUGUAACUGACGCUGAGGCGCGAAAGCGUGGGGGAGCAAACAGGAUUAGAUACCCUGGUAGUCCACGCCGUAAACGAUGAGUGCUAAGUGUUAGGGGGUUUCCGCCCCUUAGUGCUGCAGCUAACGCAUUAAGCACUCCCGCCUGGGAGUACGGCCGCAAGGCUG